rnacentral:rRNA from 1 species
UAUCUCUGUAGAGUCUGCAUAUCAAUAAGCGGAGGAAAAGAAACUAACAAGGAUUCCCUUAGUAACGGCGAGUGAAGCGGGAAGAGCUCAAAUUUGAAAUCUUCAAGGUUUUACCUUGACGAAUUGUAGUUUAAAGAAGUGUUUUCUGUUGAAGUUUCGGUAAAAGUUCUUUGGAAUAGGACAUCAUAGAGGGUGAGAAUCCCGUAUUUGACCGUUAUUUUCAGCUGUGUGAUACACUUUCAAAGAGUCGGAUUGUUUGGGAAUGCAGUCCAAAAUGGGUGGUAAAUUUCAUCUAAAGCUAAAUAUUGGCGAGAGACCGAUAGCGAACAAGUACCGUGAGGGAAAGAUGAAAAGAACUUUGAAAAGAGAGUUAAACAGUACGUGAAAUUGUCAAAAGGGAAGCGUUUGACACCAGUGUUGUUUUCUCGAAAAUCAAUUAAAAAUGGCUUGAUUUUGUGUUGUAUUGACCUUAAAAGCUUUCUGCACUUUUUUCAUGUCUUUUUUAAUGCACUUUUCGUUUAACAAGUCAACAUCAGUUUCUUUUGUUGUAAAAAGGUCAUUGGAAGGUGGCUUUCUUUUCGGAGAAAGUGUUUAUAGCCUUUGACUCCUGCAAUCGGAGAGACUGAGGUCUGCAGCGUAGAUCCUUCUUGGAUUAGAUUCAUUUGUGCUAAGUUAUAGCUUUUUAUAGACAACUUGUUGACUAUAUUUAGUCUUGUAGCUUACUCGCUUAUGUAAUUUUACCUACGCUUAGGAUGUUGAACGCGCACAGAGUCUC